GAUGAACGCUGGCGGCGUGCCUAAUACAUGCAAGUCGAGCGAACAGACGAGGAGCUUGCUCCUCUGACGUUAGCGGCGGACGGGUGAGUAACACGUGGAUAACCUACCUAUAAGACUGGGAUAACUUCGGGAAACCGGAGCUAAUACCGGAUAAUAUAUUGAACCGCAUGGUUCAAUAGUGAAAGACGGUUUUGCUGUCACUUAUAGAUGGAUCCGCGCCGCAUUAGCUAGUUGGUAAGGUAACGGCUUACCAAGGCAACGAUGCGUAGCCGACCUGAGAGGGUGAUCGGCCACACUGGAACUGAGACACGGUCCCGACUCCUGCGGGAGGCAGCAGUAGGGAAUCUUCCGCAAUGGGCGAAAGCCUGACGGAGCAACGCCGCGUGAGUGAUGAAGGUCUUCGGAUCGUAAAACUCUGUUAUUAGGGAAGAACAAAUGUGUAAGUAACUAUGCACGUCUUGACGGUACCUAAUCAGAAAGCCACGGCUAACUACGUG
rnacentral:rRNA from 1 species